CCUACUGUGAUCGACGGUUUGUCGAUGUCUAAUAGAUUUGACAAUUUUAUAGCAAGUCCCUACAUGAGUCUUGAGUACCCUGGUAAAAUUUCAAGCCAUUCCAACUUCGUUUGAUACUUCUUUAAAAUGCAAAACCUAAACUGCACAUUACUACCGAGAAUUUCAGAGAACAGAGGAAAGAGUCAUUCAUUUCAGUAGCUUCCUGUGUGAUCUAGAUUUCCAAAUUUUUAUGGUAUUAACCUUAUUGUGUUAGCUAGAUAUCCACCAAAGUUGAGCCCAGUUUGACAACGUUUACUAUUUUUCAAAAAUCCAAGUUUUCGAUUGUUCAAAACUGCCGAACAUGGUAGAUCGUGGUAAAAACGUCAUAUCUCUCAAACCACUUGGAGUUUUCGACUCUACUUUUUUUUAUAUGAAACUAGACUCGAAGAUCUUUCUUUUGGUAUGAGUCUAGAGUCCAGGAGAUGUCGGAGUCAGAACAGAUUAAAUUUUGAAGUUGAGUCAGUGUAAAAACAGAGCAUGUUUUGAUGAUGUUUGAUUGUGAUUCUUAUGUGCCUUAUGUGUUUGUGUUGCCUAUGUGUUUGAAUGAGAUUAGACGAGGUAUGAUUGAUUUUUGACUGUCUUUAAUGUAACGAAUUAUGGAUGCUAGAACCCUAAAACAUUAAAAGAUACCCUAGGCACGUAGAAUUAGACUUUGUCUUAUGACAAUUUCUUCACGAACUUAUCGACUCUUCAUCAAUGAAGGUCCGGGCGACAGAAAGUGAAGCCGAAGAAGAAACGACUCCACGCCAGCUUUAAGAACAAUUGAGGUUGAGCAGGCGAUGGAAUGGAUCGGUGUUGAGCGGAUUUCCCUUUUGAUGUUUAUGUAAUGAAACCUUGAGUAUGCAUCUCCAUAUGCAUAACUCACACGUUUUUUUUCGCUGCAAACACUCUGACUUAUUUAUCAUUUCUACUUGAACUUAUUACUACUUCAUUUUAAUUAACUUUCAGUUGGGGUCUAGUCGUUAUGGCAGACUCGUUUGUGAAUUACCCAAGUGGUUAUAUAUAUAUAUACCACUAGUUUGUUAUUAAUGUUGGUUACUUAGUAAAUCCCCUUUAAUUUC